GUGAAGAUGGUGCUGACUGAGCUAGAGAUGGACUUUGUGAUGGUGGUUGCAGUUAUAAUGAUGUUUAUCAUUAGCUGUGUGGUGAAUUACAUCUGGCAGCUCUGCAGACUCCUGAACAGCGCCAUUGUAUGAUACAAAAAGACUCAAUCCCAUUUCCAUGCUUUGACCUUGAAGGCAACUGCAGAGGACAAAGCACUAGACAGUGAAAGAAGAUAAGACCGGAUCAGUGGAGUAAGAACCAUCUAUACCGGACCACAGGAGAAGCAAGUACCGGAUUACAGCGUUGAAGGAAAAUGGAUCGCCGGAUAUAUGCGAAAGGGAAGGAAUCUGGAGAAGCUGCUCAUAGCAGCCAGAAGACUGAUCUGAUCCACUAUUGCACCAGCCAUACUAACAGGUCGAAGAAGUUCUGCUAUUCAAAGUCCUUGUUCUCAACAGUCCAGGAAAAAAGCACUCCUCGAUCUCUGCAUUCCAGGAAUAGAGCACUCCAUUAAUCGCUUCAGUGAAUAUAGAGCACCUCAAAUCUCAGCAGUGCAGGGACACAGCAACUUAUG